UGGGCAAGCAACGUUAGCGAAAGUAGUAUAUAUUCGUAACAUGUCAAAUCCUGGGGCAUCACCGAAACUAAUAGCGUUUCCAGUUUCUCAAGCAUGAAGCUUUCUUCUCCCACCAUCAUCUUUCUUGUCCUCGGGCUUCUCUUCGCUUCCAUGGCCACCACGAGCUGUCGGGAGACGCCCACCCAUGGCGUGCGAGAGAAAGGCAGAGAUGGGGCUACGGUGCAAUCCCAAGGCGUCGUCUUCGGCCUUGCAAGGGCUUCUACUUUUACACCACCGGCGCCAAAAGCCAACCAUCACCCUGACCCUCCCUUCAACAAUCCCUGAAGCCAUGCUGCCCAUCGAUCAUGCACUGCACCAAUAUUUCAUGCUUUGUUGAAGACUACAUCGUUGUGCUGAUGCUGCUUCUCGCUUUCUCUCUCUCUCUCUCUCUCUCUCUCUAGAAGGGUGUAUUGAUGGAAAUGUUCGGUGAUUCCAGUAAUUGUUUUGUGAUGUGUUAUCGGUUCACAAA